rnacentral:rRNA from 1 species
UACGUAGGGUGCGAGCGUUGUCCGGAAUUAUUGGGCGUAAAGAGCUCGUAGGCGGUCUGUCGCGUCGAUCGUGAAAACUUGGGGCUUAACCCUGAGCUUGCGGUCGAUACGGGCAUGACUGGAGUUCGGCAGGGGAGACUGGAAUUCCUGGUGUAGUGGUGAAAUGCGUAGAUAUCGGGAGGAACACCAGUGGCGAAGGCGACUUCCUGGCCUGUUCUUGACGCUGAGGCGCGAAAGCUAGGGUAGCAAACGGG